GACGAACGCUGGCGGCGUGCUUAACACAUGCAAGUCGAACGGAAAGGCCCUGCUUUUUUGGUGUGCUCGAUUGGCGAACGGGUGAGUAACACGUGUGUAACCUGCCCUUCACUUUCGUAUAACUUCAGGAAACUGGGGCUAAUACCGUAUAGCAGCUCCUGCUGCAUUGUGGGGGUUGGAACGUUUCGGCGGUUGGGGAUGGACUCGCGGCUUAUCAGCUUGUUGGUGGGGUAGUGGCUUACCAAGGCUUUGACGGGUAGCCGGCCUGAGAGGGUGACCGGCCACAAUGGGACUGAGAGACGGCCCAGACGCCUACGGGAGGCAGCAGUGGGGAAUAUUGCACAAUGGGCGGAAGCCUGAUGCAGCAACGCCGCGGGCGGGAUGACGGCCUUCGGGUUGUAAACCGCUUUCGCCUGUGACGAAGCGUGAGUGACGGUAAUGGGUAAAGAAGCACCGGCUAACUACGUG
rnacentral:rRNA from 1 species